UCGAUAUGCAUUGUAAUGCGAUAGUCGAAAGUGUGUGGCAGGAGGCUUUCAAUUGGGCUCAUGGCAAUGACUUAGAACCAUUGAUGAUAACUCUUAAGUGCAUUGCAUUUCGUAGCUGUAAAGCAAUUGAAACGCAUGUAGCCAAAGAUUUUCAAAAGUAUGCCACUUACGAAACGAUAUUCCAUCUAAUCUAAUCCAAUCGACUCGACUCUCAUUCUCGUGCUGAAAAUUCUCUUUGAAUAUUUGGAAUAAUAAAUGUUCAGGGUAAGUGCUCAUAUCCUUUCGUUGUCAACUUUAAACUGCAAUUUGUGGCACAGACGAAGAGUGAAAGAGGGAGCGGAACGACGAAAAAAUGUCGCAAAAAGAGCCCUAAAAAGCACACACACCCAUCCACAUCCGCAUACAUCUACACGUAAGGAUGGUGUAUGUGAAAGUAAUAAAAAAGAAAC